rnacentral:rRNA from 1 species
AUGAAAUUUUCAUAUACGGCUCUUAGAGGGGGACUCGGGUUAGUUACCUAUCUCAAUAAAGUAUAUGAUUGGUUUGAGGAACGUCUUGAGAUUCAGGGGGAAUAUGUUCCUCCCCAUGUCAACAUAUUUUAUUGUUUAGGGGGAAUUACACUUACUUGUUUUCUAGUACAAGUCGCUACCGGUUUUGCUAUGACUUUUUACUACCGACCAACCGUUACAGAGGCUUUUUCCUCGGUUCAAUACAUAAUGACCGAGGCCACCUUUGGUUGGUUAAUGAAUUAG